AAUAAAAUUCUGUUUCAUAAAUCCAUUGAUGCCUCAAGUGUUUGUAAUUGUACAACCUUCACUCAAUGCCCUAAGGAAAUAGAUUCAAGAAAGUAUUAUUGUCAUUCACAUUGCAAUCCAAAGCCUUUCUUGAUCUAUCAUUUCAAUUGUGUUGGAAAUACAAUACCUAGCUUAGUAGCCAACCUUUGCUAUCCCAGAAAUACAUAACAGGGAGACGUUACGUUUUGAAAUACCUUCAAAAACCAAGUAAACAACAAUCGUCAACUAAAGAACUCUAAAACUGAGUGCAAAAAUAGAAAUUAGCGAGCUAUAAAUUAAAAGAUACUUAUGUUUCAGUAAUUUGAAUAAACUACAGUAUCAUUGUUUUAUGCCUUAUUGCGAUUGUCAUAGUAGCUAUUUCAAAUAUAUUUUUUCCACAUUUUUCAAUGAAGAGAGCAGUCACAAAGUGAACGCCAAGUAAAUAAUUGUUGAAAGCUUAGAACAACAUUUUUCAAAUGAAGUAACUAUCCGUGCAAUAAACUAAAAAUAACUUAAACAAUCAAGUAAGUGAUAGAUUAAAGAUAAGAACUUCAUGUUUCCUAAAGCGAGUAACUUCCAAUAGCACAUUGUAUAAAUGCAGGGGUAAUUUAGGAUGGUAUGUAGUCAAAAGAUGUUGCUAGAUUAUAGGUAUGCCACACACAUAGAGUUUAAUUUGAUGGGAGAUUCUGACAUAAGGUGUGUAAAAAGAAUGCAGUAAAGUGAACUAAAAUGCCAUCCAACGGACAGGGAAAGAUAACUGGUGAUCAUAAUUCUGUAAUCUGUGGUCUUUCUGACCUACACUUUCAUCUCUGUUUUGUGUAUAGAGUUGUAAAGAUGGCUAAUUAUUUAUUUGUUUUCUCUUCAUGGUUUAUUUUGAAACUUGUGCUCAAGUCAAGUGUACUAAUCUUAAUUAUUUUGGUAAUAUAAUACUCUAGUGAAAUAGAAAUCUUACACAGGAGAGAAAGUUGAGAUUGCAUAUUCAGGUUGAUGACACUGAAUGCUGUUUAUGUGAUGAAAAAGUAAUGGAGACUAAUGUUCACCUAUUCGAGAAAUGCAAAUGGACAUCAGCUGUGUGGUAAGCUAUGCACCAUUGGACUGAAAUACCAGUGCAGAAUAUUGGUAUCAUGAAGGUCUAGGAAAACAUAAAAGGUAAUCACUGGAAGCAAUUUAAAAAGGAGAUCAUGGCAGCUAUCUGUGGAGAUAUCAUAUACCACACUUGGCGUGCCAGGAAAUGGAGGAGGUUUAAGGACAAGCGUGUACAUACGGAGGAGGCAGUAACACAGAUAAAUAAGGAAAUCAUUGAAAGAUUACACUUAGUAGUUCAAAGAGCAAAAAAGUGUAGACACUUUAUUCAACAUUUGUUAUGUAAUUGGUUUUAUGUUUGGUAGGAGGCCUGUUCUCUCUUAUCAGAAUUAGGUGCUCUUUAUUUGUAUCCGUUCUUGGGUGGUUAUGGUAAUAUUUUACAGUUGUUACUAUAAAAGAAAAAAAUAAAAAUCUUCACUUGCAGAACCAUUCAGGUAAUUUAAGAAAGGAAAUUAUACAACAUGUUAUAAAAACAAAAUUAAAUGACAGCACAUCUAAAUUCUUAUCCUUUAAUGUUAAAUUCUUAACUUCAUGAAUUCUCUUUUGAUGUCAUAAGUUUUUAGUGUGAUUUUCAGGCCUUCAGAUCACAAAAAGAGACAUAUGAAGUGAUUCACUUUCAGUAUGACGACAACAAAUAAUUAAAUAAACACAACAUAUUAUGAUAUAGCUUUUUGCUCAAAACUCACAUUAUGUAAAAAGUAAAUAGAAGAAAACCAAAAAUAACACAAAAGAAAAUAAAGAGCAAAUGGUGGAGAUACUGAAAGGAAAAUCAAAGGGAAUAAAUGGAACUUGGAUAUAGAUAAUUGGAAGCAGAAUAUCAGUGUCAUAUAUAAAUUCCACAAGAAAUAUUUAGGAAAGAAAGAAAUCUUAAAAGAGAUAUAAACACCAAAUUUAUCUAUUAAUUGUAUAGAAAAUUAAUUGACAAUCAAAUUCGAUCAUAGCAGAUAACCAACACACACAACAACAGCCUGUGAUUAUACAAUAAAAGAUAUCCUCAUUAGAAUUGAAUCAACUAAUAAAACAAUUCUCUAAAAUAUAUCUUCAUAAAUAACUCAAAACUAAACUAAUGCUCAAGAACUUCAAUUACAAGAAUCUUAAGUACAUUUAAUCCUACAUCUUUGUCACUUGAAACUGAAGGGCUAAAAUUGUACAAAACGAACCUCAUGAAGAUGAGCCAAAAAAUGCUAGGAUCACUCACGAGUCACGACCAUUUGACUCAUCAGCAGUCAGCCAUGCCUACAUAAUGUCAAAAAUAGCAAAUUUGCUUGUACUGGGAAGCUUGUAAUAAAAAAGCUUCAACCAAUGUACCUUCAGGGUUUAUGAAAGUGGCGGGUGCAAGAUUUUUAUUUUUUUUUCGUUGAUAAGCUCCUGAGACUGGAACCUUGAGGAGGAAAAAUAAUUUGAUUUUUGGUAUCAAAUGAGGUUCAGAGAUGGAUGCCCAACGUCAAUCUAUCGACAACAAUGGUAGUGACCCGGAGCUUAACACAAAUUUGUUGCUUUUGUUCCCCAUUGUUGUUUGACAGAGAGAGCUUGAGCCAUGCCUCCCUAAUCGUUAUUAUAAUCCCAUAAAAACUAUAGAUAUAGUCAUAUAGGAUUCGGUUCUUGAAUACACUGGAACAGAUACAAAAAUAGAUUCAGUGAUCUGUCUGUUCUUAAAUUUUUUCCCAAAACUCUAGCCCUUUCUCUAUGUUGAGGAUUUGAAAAGAAUUUUAAGAGGAUUAAAGCAAAAAUUGAGAGAAAUAAAUUACCUGCAAUUAAAAUACCCAGUUAAGAAUGAACUCAAAGUUUGUACUUUGCUGAGUAGAGCAUCGGCAUUGUUAAUUGUAAGCAAAGAAGAGCGUAGAAGAGUGUAGAAGAAAGGAUUGGAAAACAAAAUGCCAUUAGAAUAUAAUAAAAAUUGGUAAGCAAAGAGGAGCGU
rnacentral:lncRNA from 1 species